GAUGAACGCUGGCGGCGUGCUUAACACAUGCGAGUCGAACGAAGCAUUUAGGACAGAUUACUUCGGUUUGAAGUUCUUUAUGACUGAGUGGCGGACGGGUGAGUAACGCGUGGGUAACCUGCCUUGUACUGGGGGAUAGCAGCUGGAAACGGCUGGUAAUACCGCAUAAGCGCACAAUGUUGCAUGACAUGGUGUGAAAAACUCCGGUGGUAUAAGAUGGACCCGCGUCUGAUUAGCUAGUUGGUGAGAUAACAGCCCACCAAGGCGACGAUCAGUAGCCGACCUGAGAGGGUGACCGGCCACAUUGGGACUGAGACACGGCCCAGACUACUACGGGAGGCAGCAGUGGGGAAUAUUGCACAAUGGAGGAAACUCUGAUGCAGCGACGCCGCGUGAGUGAAGAAGUAAUUCGUUAUGUAAAGCUCUAUCAGCAGGGAAGAUAGUGACGGUACCUGACUAAGAAGCGCCGGCUAAAUACGUG
rnacentral:rRNA from 1 species